CUGUGCUUAAAAUGCAAAGGAGCAUAUAGAAUACUAUGCUGUUAUCAGCUACUGAGGUAUGUGAUUAUAGCUAGAAAGUUAAACCACUUUGUAUAAAUGUAUAUUGAGGUAUUUACGUUUUGAAAAGUAUUGAGGUAUUGAUAAUGUGGAGGACGCCCUCUUUUGCAGCAGCACAGUUAAAGGAGAAAACCAUUAAUUUGGUUGUAAAGGAAAUGGGUGCUUAAAACAAACAGAAAUUUUAAAUGUUUAUAGCCCUUUUUGGCUUCUUCUGUUUGGAUCUCUAAGAAUUCUCUUUACGGGUGUCAGUACUGCUUCAAGUCAGUUUGCUUCAUUCGAGCCUGAGGUAAGCAGUUAUUAAUAAAUUGUGCAGGUUCAGAAAAACAGGUUGUUCUAUAACCCUCUUUCCAAGAGGUUUUGAGGUAGAUUUAUUUUCUUCCCAAACUUUGUUUUUUUAGAUUUCAAAGGCUCUGUUUUUGCAAAUAACAGUAUAUGUGUUUUCUAGACAAAAAAAAAAAAAUUUAAAAAAAAAUGAGGUAGUUGCUUAAC